rnacentral:lncRNA from 1 species
AAGCCAUUUCACAGGGAAGUCACUCCUUUGUGCUUCAGCCUUCGCACCAGCCCUGGGAUUUAUUUUGUCUAACUUCAUCUUCUCAAGCUAAUGGGUGAGAGCUGACUGUGCAGAACUGCAGAAAGACAUUGCUUUGGUUAAGGGACAAUAAAUCAAGAAGAUCAGAAACGUCAUUAAAAGUGAUACAUCCUGGAAAUCGACAGUCCUGAUUUUGUGCCUGAAACUGGCACGCUGAGCUGGCCAGUAGCACUCAGGAGUGGGGACGUGGGGUUACGCUGAAGGCUGGUGUGGACCCC